rnacentral:rRNA from 1 species
UACGUAGGGGGCAAGCGUUGUCCGGAAUCAUUGGGCGUAAAGAGCUCGUAGGCGGUUCGUCGCGUCGGCUGUGAAAACCUGAGGCUCAACCUCAGGCCUGCAGUCGAUACGGGCGGACUUGAGUACUGCAGGGGAGACUGGAAUUCCUGGUGUAGCGGUGAAAUGCGCAGAUAUCAGGAGGAACACCGGUGGCGAAGGCGGGUCUCUGGGCAACAACUGACGCUGAGGAGCGAAAGCGUGGGGAGCGAACAGG